rnacentral:rRNA from 1 species
GGGCGCUAGCCUGAUCCAGCCAUGCCGCGUGUGUGAAGAAGGCCUUUUGGUUGUAAAGGGCUUUAAGCGAGGAGGAGGCUACCUAUAUUAAUACUAUGAGGUAGUGGACGUUACUCGGAGAAUAAGCACCGGCUAACUCUGUGCCAGCAGCCGCGGUAAUACAGAGGGUGCGUGCGAUUAUCGGAAUUACUGGGCGUAAAGCGCGCGUAGGCGGUUUGUUAAGUCGGAUGUGAAAUGGCCGGGCUCAACCUGGGAAUUGCAUUCAAUACUGGCAAGCUAGAGUAUGGGAGAGGAAGGAAAAAUUCCAGGUGUAGCGGUGAAAUGCGUAAAGAUCUGGAGGAAUACCGAUGGCAAAGGGAGCCUUCUGGCCUAAUACUGACGCUGAGGUGCGAAAGCAUGGGGAGCAAACAGGAUUAGUUUCCCUGGUAGUCCAUGCCGUAAACGAUGUCAACUAGCCGUUGGGGGAUUUGAUCCUUUUGUGGCGCAGCUAACGCGAUAAGUUGACCGCCUGGGGAGAACGGGCGCAAGACUAAAAGUCAA